rnacentral:lncRNA from 1 species
AGAAGCGUAGAUGUAGACUGGAGGUGGGGGAGAUUUUACUGGUGGUGGUGGAGAGUUGUAAUGGUACGGUGGUGGUGGGGAUUUCACUGGAGGAGGUGGUGAAUGGUAGUAGUAAGGUGGUGGGGGAGAUUUGACUGGAGGGGGUGGAGAGUUGUAAUGGUACGGUGGUGGUGGGGAUUUCACCGGAGGAGGUGGUGAAUGGUAGUAGUAUGGUGGUGGUGGAGAUUUGACUGGAGGGGGUGGUGAGUGAUAAUAGUAUGGUGGAGGAGGAGACUUCACAGGUGGGGGUGGUGAGUGGUAGUAGUAAGGUGGUGGAGGUGAUUUCACUGGUGGGGGAGGUGAGUGAUAGUAGUAUGGUGGUGGUGGAGAUUUCACCGGAGGAGGUGGGGAGUGGUAGUAGUAUGGUGGUGGUGGAGAUUUCACCGGAGGAGGUGGUGAGUGGUAGUAGUAAGGUGGAGGAGGAGAUUUCACCGGUGGAGGUGGGGAGUGGUAGUAGUAUGGUGGUGGUGGAGAUUUCACCGGUGGAGGUGGUGAGUGGUAGUAGUAUGGUGGUGGUGGAGAUUUCACCGGAGGAGGUGGGGAGUGGUAGUAGUAUGGUGGUGGUGGAGAUUUCACCGGAGGAGGUGGGGAGUGGUAGUAGUAAGGUGGAGGAGGAGAUUUCACCGGAGGAGGUGGUGAGUGGUAGUAGUAUGGUGGUGGUGGAGAUUUCACCGGAGGAGGUGGUGAGUGGUAGUAGUAUGGUGGUGGUGGAGAUUUCACCGGAGGAGGUGGUGAGUGGUAGUAGUAUGGUGGUGGUGGAGAUUUCACCGGAGGAGGUGGGGAGUGAUAGUAGUAAGGUGGAGGAGGAGACUUCACCGGAGGAGGUGGGGAGUGGUAGUAGUAAGGAGGGGGUGGCGACUUCACGGGAGGAGGUGGGGAGUGGUAGUAGUAAGGAGGGGGAGGAGAUUUCACCGGAGGAGGUGGAGAGUGGUAGUAGUAAGGUGGGGGUGGAGACUUCACCGGAGGAGGUGGGGAGUGGUAGUAGUAAGGAGGGGGUGGAGACUUCACCGGAGGAGGUGGAGAGUGGUAGUAGUAAGGUGGAGGAGGAGACUUCACCGGAGGAGGUGGAGAAUGGUAAUAGUAAGGAGGAGGAGGAGAUUUCACCGGAGGAGGUGGUGAAUGAUAGUAGUAUGGUGGUGGAGGAGACUUGACCGGAGGUGGUGGAGAAUGGUAGUAGUAUGGAGGUGGUGGGGAUUUGACGGGUGGUGGUGGUGAGUGAUAAUAAUAUGGAGGUGGAGGAGAUUUUACUGGUGGUGGAGGAGAGUGGUAGUAGUAUGGUGUAGGAGUGUGCGUUGGAGGGGGUGGUGAUUUGUAAACAUACGUUGGAGUGGGAGGAGGCGGUGACUUGUAGACAUAGGUCGGAGUAGGAGGAGGUGGUGAUUUGUAAAUAUAGGUUGGAGUUGGUGGUGGUGGAGAUUUGUAAACAUAUGUUGGGGUUGGAGGUGGUGGUGACUUGUAUACAUAAGUAGGAGUUGGUGGAGGUGGUGACUUGUAGACAUAAGUAGGGGUUGGUGGUGGUGGAGAUUUAUAGACAUAAGUCGGGGUUGGUGGCGGUGGUGAUUUGUAAACAUAGGUCGGGGUUGGCGGUGGUGGUGACUUGUAAACAUAUGUCGGAGUUGGCGGUGGUGGUGAUUUGUAGACGUAAGUCGGAGUUGGUGGAGGUGGUGAUUUGUAGACAUAAGUUGGAGUUGGUGGUGGUGGAGACUUGUAGACAUAGGUUGGAGCCGGUGGUGGUGGUGACUUGUAGUAGUAAACCGGAGACGGUGGUGGUGGAGAUUUGUAAUAGUAUGGAGGAUGGUAAGGAGCCGGUUUGUGGCAUUCACCAUAAGGUUUCUUCGGUGCAUAAGCAAAGGACUUAGCAUAAAGCACAACCUCGUACUUUGUCUUUGAUUUCACAUGGAGUUUUGCACCUUUGUUACCCAUAUGGUAACUUGUAGGAAUGUUACAUGGCGAUCCCUUAGGAGGAGCAUGAAGCUUGGCCGUGCAGACUUCGCCACCGUAUUUACGGUAGUUGUAUCCUUUAACGGUGAUUGCGUAUUUACCGUUGAUUUUGGUCUUUCCGUAUGCCUUCACUGUCUUGUCACCGGCCUUGCAAGUCACUUCCACAACAGCACCUAUAUGACAAAAACAAAUUAUUAAAAUUUAAAAAUAUCAUUUGAUGUCCUUUUAGUUGGUAUAUCUACAAAAUCGAUUUUGCUUGUUCGAUCUCUUUGGAUUGUUUGUCAAUAACAGAUUCUUGUCUUUUUCUUGACUUAAUCUCGUUUUCUUUUCUCCACUAAUAAAAAUAAAAUCUAGAUCACAUGCAACUACUAGUACUUUACAAUACAUAUAUGCUAGUUAAUUAUUUAAGUCCUAUAAGCAUCAAGAUAAAAUUAUGUAAAUUAGUUAAGGAAUUUGCUAAGAUUAGAAUUUAUUAUUGAACACGUGGGGGAGACUUAUAAGUUACCUUUGAGAUGCUUCUUAUCGUGGGACUUUUUAGGGUAUGUCCAGUCAUAACAUCUGUAACAGUACACCUUACCAACAACUUUGAAGACAAGUGGAUGUGUGUGUGGGUGAGGAUGAGGGUAUGACACCGGAGGUGGUGGUGAUGAAUAGUAGUAUGGUGGAGAGUACGACUUUGGUGGUGGUGGUGGAGAUGAGUAGUAAUAUGGUGGAGGGUAAGAUUUUGGUGGUGGUGGAGAUGAGUAAUAGUAAGGUGGAGGUGGUGAUUUCACCGGAGGAGGCGGUGAAUGGUAGUAGUAUGGAGGUGGAGGAGAUUUGACCGGUGGUGGUGGAGAGUGAUAAUAGUAUGGCGGCGGUGGAGAUUUAACUGGGGGAG